UAACUACCUUUUUGUUAUCAGCAGCAGCAGAGUCUGGUUCUUUUUCUUCUUUGGUAAGGAGUUCAUUGAGUUGAAAUGAGAUGUCUGAAACUGUUCUUUGGAGGUUUUCCAUUGACAGUCUUGAGGGCUUCUUAUGAACCAUGUUGUCAUUUUUCGCGUAAUUUCCGAGGACUGAUUCUCUGUUUGGAGCCAUGGAGAUGGAUUAAUGCUGCAAUAUAUAUGAAUAUAAGAUCAGUGAUUUCUUUGUUUGGAUUUGAAGUAUGUAAUGAAUUUGCAUGCAGAAGUUUUAAUUUAUACUGAGGCUACAACUUUCAUGAACCUUACUUAGGAGUAAAUAUAUGUGGACCACAAGUUACCAUUUGUGUGUGUGUGUGUGUAAAAGAGAGUGGUCAUGAAUCAACUGGAUUUUUCAUAAAGU
rnacentral:lncRNA from 1 species